rnacentral:rRNA from 1 species
CCAGACUCCUACGGGAGGCAGCAGUGGGGAAUAUUGGGCAAUGGACGCAAGUCUGACCCAGCGACGCCGCGUGAAGGAAGAAGGCCUUCGGGUUGUAAACUUUAGUUAUCAGGGAAGAAACAAAUGACGGUACCUGAAGAAGAAGCCCCGACUAACUACGUGCCAGCAGCCGCGGUAAUACGUAGGGGGCAAGCGUUAUCCGGAUUUACUGGGUGUAAAGGGGGCGCAGACGGCGAUGCAAGCCAGGAGUGAAAGCCCGGGGCCCAACCCCGGGACUGCUCUUGGAACUGCGUGGCUGGAGUGCAGGAGGGGCAGGCGGAAUUCCUGGUGUAGCGGUGAAAUGCGUAGAUAUCAGGAGGAACACCGGUGGCGAAGGCGGCCUGCUGGACUGCAACUGACGUUGAGGCCCGAAAGCGUGGGGAGCAAACAGGAUUAGAUACCCUAGUAA